rnacentral:lncRNA from 1 species
UUCUUGUAUUCCCUCUGUUUGACAAUUUGUAGUUUGCUUUUUUUUUUUGGUCAGAAUAAUAGCUCUUAAGCAGAUGGUUGUAAUCAGUCCCCUCGGGUAAGCCUUGGAGGGAAGUUGGACGGGGGACUCAGCAAGGAUUGAGGAUUCUGGAACUCACUUGGCUUGAACCCAGGCGAGGAGUGAGGGUGUUGAUUGCUUCCAACCUGUUCUUUGGAGCCAAGAGUUACAACAGCCAGGGGCUCUGUGACCCCUCUACUCCAACA